UAAAAAAGGCGGCACUCUUCUGGCAUUAUUUCUCCUAAUUUCUUAGCACCUGCAGUUAUCUAAAGCGGCACCUCCUUGAUGUUGUGAAGAAUUAUUAUGAGAUGGGUGCUCUUGCGACGGAAGAUCCAAGCGUUUCUCUCUGCAAAAAAACUAUUUUUAAACACGGUAUAGAGGGCAGACACUCAUACAUACACACAUACACUCAUCAUUAUGAAUGCACGCAUGCAUAUCCUGCCCCUCAAGAGUCAAGAUUAUCCUGCAUGAAAAGAAGGUCAAGAUUAUCCUUAUAAAACCGAUUCCGUCUUUAAACAAAGGAUUAGCCACAACACAUUGCCCCACCAAUCAUCCUAAUGGCGACGCCGCACGUCCUUCCGCUGGUUCGGUCGUCAGCCAAUCUCCUCCAGACCCGGCAAAACGACAGCACCAGGUCAAAUCAAGGCCUCCACGCAUCCGGAUCAAGCAGCAAUUAUAUAUGAUCCCGAUCCAUCGUCUAAUCAUCCGUACGUCGCCACGUGCCCACCCUCCAAAAUUAAGGCGCG
rnacentral:lncRNA from 1 species